rnacentral:rRNA from 1 species
AUGAUAGGGUUACGGGCCGCACUCAACUUGCCGAUGGUGUUGAUGGGACUCGACACCGAUUUGCAUGUUUCCACUGAGAUUCUUAAGAUGGAGAAUUUCAUCCUGAACACCAGAGAGCACUACAAGGACGUUCUUUGUGGUCCAACCCUCAUGGUAUUGGUCAGACUGCUAAAGUUGCCGAUACCAGAGAUCAAGGUGAAGAAGAGAAGAACUGGAACAUGGGGCAUUAAGACUCGAGUUUUUGGACAUCAAGGAGACCCCAAGAAAGGAGACAUCACAUAUGAGAUGAUAGCCCGCAACAAGGAUAUGGGCAUCAACACUGCCAUUCAUGAUGCAAUUGCACGCAUGUGCUAUCGUCAUCAUAAUGAGCUAAGCAAGAACAGUUUUGGAAAGCUUGGAUGGCAGAAAGCCGGUGGAGCACAUAUCUUACUGACGAAGGAGCAAAAGCUGAAGUUUUCACCUCUGACGGUGUAUAACCAAGACUUGGAGCAUUACAUCAAGAACCUCCAGAUGGACCUUCUUGAAGUCUUCUUCGAUAAGGAAGCACUGCAUGAAGAGCUCAAUGCCCAAAAGCUAGAGGUAACCAAGCAUGCAAAGGAAGACCUUGAAGUUCGGAAACUUCAUCAGGAACUGGAGAACAGCAGGACCAUAGCUCGUACCAAAGAUGUUGAGAUCCAGAAGCUCAAGAAUAAACUACAAGACAUACUGGGACGCCACAGGAAACUCCGUCUCGACAGAGAUUAUCUGGUUGAAGAACUGGAGAAUAUCCAACACAAGCAGAACCAAGAUCUGGAGAAGUUAGUUUAG